rnacentral:rRNA from 1 species
AGUGAACGCUGGCGGUAGGCCUAACACACGCAAGUCGAACGGCAGCACAGUAAGAGCCUGCUCUUACGGGUGGCGAGUGGCGGACGGGUGAGGAAUACAUCGGAAUCUACUUUUUCGUGGGGGAUAACGUAGGGAAACUUACGCUAAUACCGCAUACGACCUACGGGUGAAAGCAGGGGAUCUUCGGACCUUGCGCGAUUGAAUGAGCCGAUGUCGGAUUAGCUAGUUGGCGGGGUAAAGGCCCACCAAGGCGACGAUCCGUAGCUGGUCUGAGAGGAUGAUCAGCCACACUGGAACUGAGACACGGUCCAGACUCCUACGGGAGGCAGCAGUGGGGAAUAUUGGACAAUGGGCGCAAGCCUGAUCCAGCCAUACCGCGUGGGUGAAGAAGGCCUUCGGGUUGUAAAGCCCUUUUGUUGGGAAAGAAAAGCAGCAGGUUAAUACCCCGCUGUUCUGACGGUACCCAAAGAAUAAGCACCGGCUAACUUCGUG